CUCUUCCAGUUAUAUUGUUCGUAUUGCCGCCCGCAGUACCGAGAAUGAACGCGAAUCUUCUAGAAGUUGGUGACCGAGCGUUGCUUUCUCGGUACUGCGGGCGGCAAUACGAACAAUAUAACUGGAAGAG
rnacentral:pre_miRNA from 1 species